CCGGGGCGGGGCGGGGCCUCCGCAGCUCCCCCGGGAGCGUGUCGGGUGAGGAAACUGAGGCUGCUGGGGGCACGCGGCCAACGCCUCUGCCAGCCUGGGGCCCGGGGCGAGAAUCCUCAGCCCGGAGACUCGGUUUUUCAUCUGAAAAAUGGGCCAACUCCCGUGGGCCAAGCCCGUAAAAGUGCUUAGCAGGGUGCGGGGUUCACGCGAGCCCUCCACAGCCAUUGCCGCCUCUAAUCCGCAAAGCGCCCCCAUAAAUAGCCGACCCCGGCCGGGGCUGCAGAAAGGAUCACUAACUCGCGCAUGACCAUAUGGCUGAGAAAAUGGACCCGACGCUGGAGCCAAGUCUAACUCCAGAGCCGUCGCCCCAAAUCCCCAAAUCGGACAUUGUCCCCGGAGUGACAGCUCAGGCGAGCCGGAGGCCGCGUGGCUCGCGGAGCCAACCCGCUGCUGCGAGUUCCCGCGACCCUUCUGAGAAGGCCUCUUCCUCCUCAUCUAACCGGGAGAAAAACACCUCCCUCGGGGGCUUUGGCUGUUUGAAGUGAAGUCACAGGAUCUGUGCUGUUUGUGACACUCUUGUUUUCACUUGGCUCCCCCCUUGGACGACGGUUCCCUGUGGAGAUACAGAGAUGACCUCCUCUGUCUCGGUGAUGAACGCGCCCCACGGCCCUUAGAGCCCCUUUUCACCAUUGCGGGUAUAAAUAAAGCUGCACUGGCUGUGA